rnacentral:lncRNA from 1 species
GAAGUGCUGCUGAGUCUUCUCUAUUUGAUGGGGGAGGGACAACAGGAGGUUUGGAAUCUUAAGGAGCAAGAAGGUUCUGACUGGAAGAUAGAUAGUUCUCUCAGCCUUGAAAUGGAAAAGGGGAAGGUCUGACCAAGACUUGAUCCUGAGAAAAGACUCAUCUUUUUCUCCUGGUGACUGGACAUCCUUCCCCCCAUCAAUUCCCAACCAAAGUGGCCAGCUGGAGAAGACAACAAAGACUCUCUACCAUUCUUAUGCUAACAGUCUGUAUGAUGAAGCUUCCAGGAUUCUUCUUUUGAUCAUGUGGGUACUCCCUCUACUGGUGAACAUAGGACUCCUACACUGGAGAAUACUAUCUUCAAGACUUUCUGUGGCUGGGAAAAAUCAAUGUAUUCUAAAGGUGCCCACAGAGGAGGAAGGUCCAAGUUUAUCUACUAGAUAGGUCACCAGAAGCUGAGCUAAGGUUGGGAAGAAAAGCAUCAUUUCUCCUACAUUCCCCUAUUUUUCCUCUUUAAAACAGGUAAAUGAUCUUGAUCUGUCUAACUCUGCUCUGCUUAUUUUCCUCCUAUUCUUGUUAUUUUGUGUUUGUUCUGUUUUUCUUUUUUCCAUAAUAGGAUUCCCACUGGACUCAGGAACUCAAGCCAUGGCAACCCAGUAGGCAUGAUUCCAGGGUAGAUGUGCAGCCAGGCAGCCCAAGAGGAAAUCCUGAAGAAGCCAAAUUUCCCAGGACUAGAGUCCAAAAGAAUCUGAACUUUUAAGUAUGGUAGGACUUUACUAUAUAGGAAUUGAGCACAACCAUGAAUCUAAUUUCUUUCUUCUCCCCAGAGUAUGGGGUGGUACAGGGAAGGAAUGUGCCUUUGAGUAUGAGGGAAUGUUUAUGUGUUUAUUUUUAUUAUACCUUUGAAAUAAAUAAUCUUUUAUAAAUUAUUAUCUUCCUAUU